ACCUGCAUUCGAAAGUGAUUGUGGUCUUGCUGGUGGCCUGGUCAUUGAUAGUGCAGGAAGAGAAACUCCUGAAAGCUUCCCGUGUUUGGAGGACUCAUUCCCUACCUGCCAAACCCUGUAACUUUCACACA
rnacentral:snoRNA from 1 species